CCUACGGGAGGCUGCAGUGGGGAAUUUUGCGCAAUGGGCGAAAGCCUGACGCAGCAACGCCGCGUGUGUGAUGAAGGUCUUCGGAUUGUAAAGCACUUUCGACCGGGACGAAAACCCCUGAGCUAACAUCUCAGGGCUUGACGGUACCGGGAGAAGAAGCACCGGCUAACUCUGUGCCAGCAGCCGCGGUAAUACAGAGGGUGCAAGCGUUGUUCGGAAUUAUUGGGCGUAAAGCGCGUGUAGGCGGCAUUGCAAGUCGGGUGUGAAAGCCCUCAGCUCAACUGAGGAAGUGCGCCCGAAACUGCAGUGCUUGAGUACCGGAGAGGGUAGCGGAAUUCCCCAAGUAGAGGUGAAAUUCGUAGAUAUGGGGAGGAACACCGGUGGCGAAGGCGGCUACCUGGACGGAUACUGACGCUGAGACGCGAAAGCGUGGGGAGCAA
rnacentral:rRNA from 1 species